rnacentral:rRNA from 1 species
UAAUACGAAGGGGGCUAGCGUUGUUCGGAAUUACUGGGCGUAAAGCGCACGCAGGCGGUUCGAUUAGUCAGAAGUGAAAGCCCCGGGCUCAACCUGGGAACUGCUUUUGAUACUGUCGAGCUUGAAUCACGGAGAGGGUAGUGGAAUUCCGAGUGUAGAGGUGAAAUUCGUAGAUAUUCGGAAGAACACCAGUGGCGAAGGCGACUACCUGGCCGUCGAUUGACGCUCAUGUGCGAAAGCGUGGGGAGCAAACAGGAUUAGAUACCCUGGUAGUCCACGCCGUAAACGAUGGGUGCUAGUUGUUGGGGUACAUGUACCUCAGUGACGCAGCUAACGCGUUAAGCACCCCGCCUGGGGAGUACGGCCGCAAGGUUA